GCUAAACUCUUUGAUAAAAGCAACGGGCAAUGCUUAAAAAGAAGAGGUAAAGGAUUAAUCGGCCAUAGCAGGGGCCCUGAUGGAGGGGGAGCCAAGCGUAGAGAACAUGGCUGGCCCUCUCUCUAUCAAUCAGAGAACUCUUCUUCUACCCAAACCAAAUUGACCUGCCGAUGCACUGGCCACGUCCGGGCUCUAUGUGGAAAUAAAUCACACUGAAUCAGAGGCAGCUGGCAGACAGAUGACUCAGUGCGUGGUCCGGGCUGCAUCUCUGUUCCCGGGUCAUCCAUUGCUCCCGGAGUGAUAAGUGGCUCUGUCCUGGUGCUGCUCGUCUGGUGCAUACACAGUCAAUCACUGAGUGGAGCCACAGUACAACGGCCGCCCAUGGAGGACAGCAGAGCAAUAACAAAACUCAAGGUGACAUCUGUAUCACCUGAAGUGAUGAAAGAAAUUCCGACUCUAGGUCCAAAAGGAUUGCUUCCACUUUUGGCACUGUAACUGAGCAUGUGUAGUUUUCUUUGGUAGCUUGUUAUGUGACCUAAAGAGAUUCAAAUUGUGUGAUUCUCAGAGAGUACACACUGUUCAGUUAUGGAAAGUUGUUACCUUAAGGCAAAGUUAGGGGCUAAUGAUGUCUGAAGCCUACAGCAGCAGUGAAUGUGGUUUGUGGCGGUCAUAUUUACUGACAAAUUAACAGGUGAAAUAUGAUUUCAAAUUCUUUUCACAUUUGAGGUGUCUUAAGUUAAUUGCAGCCAUUCAAGUUUUAUUUGUAGAUAGCUCUAGUAGAUGAAGAUGAAGGCCUCUGUCUGGGCACAAGAAGGAGAUUUUGUGCUUCAUGACUGAAAUUUUAACCCGAGGCGCCCUGAGGGUUUCCCAGAGCUGAACUGUUUUAUCUGUGCAAAGCACACUUACUCUCGCCUCACAGUAACUACAAGACCUUAGAACAUGACUUUUCUGAACAACUGCACAUCCAUUAUUAUUUUGAUCUCCUGUUGUUUGAUUUAUUUAGAUUUUUUUUGCUAUAUUUCUAGUCAGCUUUAGACAGAACCAGGAUAUCUAUUUCCCCAGUCUGAAGUCUUAAGUUAAGCUAUGCUAACUCGGGGUAGCAUCAGUCACUGCAAGAAAGUCAAAAAGACCAUUUCUCAUCUUAUUUAGCUUUUUCGUCAGUGAACAUGGCCCCUUUCUAUAUGAUCAGUAUUUUUAUUGAACUUUGUGUGGAUUCUCUCUGGGAUUCCCCUUGCUAGAGACAUGUGCAGCUCCUUAACACUAGAAGAUGCUUUGAGUAAAAAAAGCACAUAUCUGCCCAAUCCUCAGUGACAGGCACACACACACACACACAUUCAUAAUAAGAGAUAAAGGACUGCAGUCCAGCUUUAUGUCCCUGCUGCAAGCCCACCCAGCACCAAGCAGCGAGUUGCAGCAUCCAAGCACUAGAUGGCAGCACAGCUGCACCGCUGCAGCUUUUCUGAUUGAAUAUUUAGUCAUUCACGCAUUUCACCUGAUCAUUUGUAUGACACAGCAUGAUUAAAUAUCCCAAAAUGUCAUAUCUCCUCGUUCACUUCCUGUUGACAUGUUGCCUGUUCUAGAACUUCUUAUGUGCACACCAUCGUCUCCAGGAAGAAGAAGAAAAAAAAAAAUCUAAUAACAUGGCUGACUAACUGCUCAGACUGCAUGUCAUGCUGUUGUGAGUUAGCUUGAAAAGAAAUAUACAUAAAUUAAAGUUGAGCUCUGACAUCCACUCGUUGGCCUUUUCCUAAACCACCCUCUGGAAAUGAAAAAAGUUCUCCGACUUCUGGAAGAGAAUAUUCUUGCUAAUCCUCUGGACCUGAUCACGCUUUGCCAGGUAAUUCCUAGAACCUGGCACUCUAUCAGUGAAAGGAAAUUGGGCUUAAGAUGUGCAGCCCCUCUGGUCUUUCAGAGUGUCUUUAAGAAUGUUGAAGGGAAGACUUGUAAGUUCAAUAUUUACAGUCUGCUGUACUUGUACUGAUUUUAGACAGCUAUGCCCGUUUACGUCAGUGAA